UCCCAGGUGGUCUAGUGGUUAAGACUCUGCAUUCCCAGUGCAGGAGGCCUGGGUUGAAUCCCUGGUCAGGGAA
rnacentral:tRNA from 1 species